CUACAGUAAGGGCUGUGGCCAGAUGAAUGAAUGCACAUUUUUUAGUGGGCAGAAAGAUGUUAGAAUUCAUGAAUUAGAAUAAGCACAAAGGAGGGCGAGAGGGGAGGCCGUGGAAGCCGCAUUCCUCCCCUUGCCUUGGGCGCCCACCCCCGAAGGGGCGCGUCCCCUCCCUGCUCCACUGCACGUGGGUGUUUAACCAGGGGAUAUCCAGUGCCUCAAGCACCACGACCCGGGAGAAAACUGAGUUGAGAAGUGUCCAUUCAAGAAUUGUGCCCACAAUAUACCAGGCACUUGUCCAGACCUGCAUCGUCCAAUGCCCACCUCGACCUCCCAAAGUGUUGGGAUUAGAGGCGUGAGCCACCGCGC
rnacentral:lncRNA from 1 species